UCAUUCUACAAACUGAGAAGCUUAAGUAACAGAAAUUUAUUUUCUCACAGACUUGGAAGACAAGAUCAAGUUGUCAAGUUAGGUAGUGGUAAUGAAUUGAUGUUGAUUCCCUAAUUUUCAUGGUUGUAUGCUGAUGAUGUAGGAGGUUCUUGUAGGAAAUACACACUCAGAAGUAUUCUGAGGUGAUGGGGCAUCAUAUCAGCAGCUUAUUCUCAAAUGGUUCAGGAAGGAAAAAGUUUUAUACUAUACUUCUUUGGCAAGUUUAGAUUGUUUCAAAAUAAAUUUUUUUUAAAAAGAGCAUUUGUUAACCAUCGGUUUGGUAAAAGGUGAAAAAUGUUGAUAAUACCUAGUGUUUGUGAAGGUGUGGAGAAACAAAGUUUCAUACACUAUUGUCAAAAGUAUAAAUUGUUACGAUAUUUUUGGAGAGCAAUUUUCCAGUAUCUAGCAAAAAUUUAAAAGCAAAUCUUAACUCAGCAAUUCUGCCUUUAGAAAUGUAUUUGUAGGAUAACAUACAGGAGAGAAAAAUGUAUUUUACUGCAACACCGUUGAUACUAACAAAAACUGGAAACCACCAAAACAUUUAUCAUGAGGGGGUUAAGUAAAGUAUGGUAUAACUAUACAAUGAGUAUACUAGGAAACCCUUAGAAAGAAUGCAGAAAGAUGUAUGUGGACUUUUACAGAAAGGUGAGCUACUGUGUAAAUGCAAAUGUGCCAAUAUCACGUAUAUACAGUCAGAUUCCUUUUGUUAAAAACCAAAAGCGUAUGUUUAGAAGCAAAAGCACUCACAUAAAGGCCUGGUAUAGAGCAGUGGCUAAAAACAGUGCCAAGAUACUGCCUCAACUUCCUCUCACAUGCUGCCCUGGUGAUACUGAGGCUGGUUCAGGAACCAUGACAGCCUGUUUGUAUGAAUUCCUUAAAGCACAAAUUACUUAGUUUCUUUCAUAACAGUCACCUAAUCCCUUAGUUUAAAAUGGUUGUGUUCAUGGAAUACUAUGCAGCCAUAAAAAAGGAGAUCACAUCCUUUGCAGCAACAUGAGUGGAACUGGAGGCCAUUAUCCUAAGAGAACUAAUGCUGCAACAGAAAAACCAAAUACCGCAUGUUUUCACUUACAAGUGGGAGCUAAACAAUGAGAACACAUGGAUACAAAGAGGGGAAAAACAGACACUGAGGCCUACUUGAGGGUGAAGGGCAGGAGGAGGAAGAGUAUC
rnacentral:lncRNA from 1 species